rnacentral:tRNA from 1 species
GGACAGGUGGCCGAGCGGUUGAAGGCGCGCGCCUGGAAAGUGCGUAUACGUUCAUCGCGUAUCGUGGGUUCGAAUCCCACCCUGUCCG